rnacentral:rRNA from 1 species
GAUGAACGCUGGCGGCGUGCCUAAUACAUGCAAGUCGAGCGAACAGAGGAGAAGCUUGCUUCUCUGAUGUUAGCGGCGGACGGGUGAGUAACACGUGGGUAACCUACCUAUAAGACUGGGAUAACUCCGGGAAACCGGGGCUAAUACCGGAUAAUAUUUUGAACCGCAUGGUUCCAUAGUGAAAGACGGUUUCGGCUGUCCCUUAUACAUGGACUCGCGCCGUAUUAGCUAGUUGGUAAGGUAACGGCUUACCAAGGCGACGAUACGUAGCCGCCCUGAGAGGGUGAUCGGCCACACUGGAACUGAGACACGGUCCAGACUGCUACGGGAGGCAGCAGUAGGGAAUCUUCCGCAAUGGGCUAAAGCCUGACGGAGCAACGCCGCGUGAGUGAUGAAGGUCUUCGGAUCGUAAAACUCUGUUGUUAGGGAAGAACAAAUUUGUUAGUAACUGAACAAGUCUUGACGGUACCUAACCAGAAAGCUACGGCUAACUACGUGCCAGCAGCCGCCGUAA